rnacentral:rRNA from 1 species
GACGAACGCUGGCGGCGUGCUUAACACAUGCAAGUCGACAUGCGUGGCGGACGGGUGAGUAAUACGUGGGUAACCUGCCCUCCUUUUUGGGAUAAGCCUUGGUAACGGGGCCUAAUACCGACUAAAGGGGGCUGAGUUAGCGGCUUAUCAGCUUGGUGGGGGGGUGAUGGCCUACCAAGGCGGUGAUGGGUAGCCGGGCUGAGAGGGUAACCGGCGACAUUGGGACGGAGAAGCGGCCCAGGGGACGAAGGAGGGGAGCAGUGUGGGAUAUUGGAGAAUGGCCGAAAGACUGAUGCAGCGAGGCCGCGGAGGGGAUGAAGGCUGUCGGGUAGUAAACCUCUUUCGGAAUCGAACGGGUAGGUGGAGAAGAAGCGCCGGCUAACUACGUGCCAGCAGCCGCGGUAAUUC